GAACGAACGCUGGCGGCGUGCCUAAUACAUGCAAGUCGCACGAGAAAGUCCUUCGGGAUGAGUAGAGUGGCGCACGGGUGAGUAAUAUAUAGGAACGUACCAUAUGGUGGGGGAGUAACCACGGGAAACUGUGGCUAAUACCGCAUGAUGUCGAAAGACCAAAGCAUGCCUCUGUUUACAAGCAUGCGCCAAUUGAGCGGCCUAUAUCCCAUUAGCUAGUUGGUGAGGUAAUGGCUCACCAAGGCGACGAUGGGUAGCUGGUCUGAGAGGAUGAUCAGCCACACUGGGACUGAGACACGGCCCAGACUCCUACGGGAGGCAGCAGUAGGGAAUUUUGCACAAUGGGCGCAAGCCUGAUGCAGCAACGCCGCGUGAGUGAAGAAGGCUCUUGGGUCGUAAAGCUCUUUCGGCUGGGGGGAAGGGAUAUCCUGCGAACAGUUGGGUAUUCUGACAGUACCAGAAGAAGAAGCACCUGCUAACUACGUG
rnacentral:rRNA from 1 species